AUUUCAAAGCUCUCGCCCGGGCAAGUUAGUGGCGGACGGGUGAGUAACGCGUGGAGAACCUGCCUUUAUCCGGGGGAUAACAGUUAGAAAUGACUGCUAAUACCGCAUAAGCGCACAUGGUCGCAUGGCCGAGUGUGAAAAACUCCGGUGGAUAGAGAUGGCUCCGCGUCAGAUUAGCCAGUUGGCGGGGUAACGGCCCACCAAAGCGACGAUCUGUAGCCGGCCUGAGAGGGCGACCGGCCACAUUGGGACUGAGACACGGCCCAAACUCCUACGGGAGGCAGCAGUGGGGAAUAUUGCACAAUGGGGGAAACCCUGAUGCAGCGACGCCGCGUGAGUGAUGAAGUAUUUCGGUAUGUAAAGCUCUAUCAGCAGGGAAGAAAAUGACGGUACCUGACUAAGAAGCCCCGGCUAACUACGUGCCAGCAGCCGCGGUAAUACGUAGGUGGCAAGCGUUGUCCGGAAUUACUGGGUGUAAAGGGAGCGCAGGCGGGACUGCAAGUUGGAUGUGAAAUACCGCAGCUUAACUGCGGAGCUGCAUCCAAAACUGUAGUUCUUGAGUGGAGUAGAGGUAGGCGGAAUUCCGAGUGUAGCGGUGAAAUGCGUAGAUAUUCGGAGGAACACCAGUGGCGAAGGCGGCCUACUGGGCUCUUACUGACGCUGAGGCUCGAAAGUGUGGGGAGCAAACAGGAUUAGAUACCCUGGUAGUCCACACUGUAAACGAUGAUUGCUAGGUGUGGGGGGUCUGACCCCUUCCGUGCCGGAGUUAACGCAAUAAGCAAUCCACCUGGGGAGUACGGCCGCAAGGUUGAAACUCAAAGGAAUUGACGGGGGCCCGCACAAGCAGUGGAUUAUGUGGUUUAAUUCGAAGCAACGCGAAGAACCUUACCAGGUCUUGACAUCCGACUAACGAAGCAGAGAUGCAUCAGGUGCCCUUCGGGGAAAGUCGAGACAGGUGGUGCAUGGUUGUCGUCAGCUCGUGUCGUGAGAUGUUGGGUUAAGUCCCGCAACGAGCGCAACCCUUACGGUCAGUUGCUACGGAAGAGCACUCUGGCCGGACUGCCGUUGACAAAACGGAGGAAGGUGGGGACGACGUCAAAUCAUCAUGCCCCUUACGCUCUGGGCUACACACGUACUACAAUGGCGCAAACAAAGAGUUGCGACCCCGCGAGGGUGAGCUAAUCUCAUAAAAGGCGUCCCAGUUCGGAUUGUAGGCUGAAACCCGCCUGCAUGAAGUUGGAAUUGCUAGUAAUCGUAGAUCAGCAUGCUACGGUGAAUACGUUCCCGGGCUUUGCACUCACCGCCCGUCA
rnacentral:rRNA from 1 species